GACGGAGGGUGCUAGCGUUGUUCGGAAUCACUGGGCGUAAAGGGCGCGUAGGCGGCCUUGCAAGUCGGUUGGUGAAAGCCCGGGGCUCAACCCCGGAGGUGCGGCCGAGACUGCAGGCUGGAGGCCGGAAGAGGAGGGUGGAAUACCCAGUGUAGAGGUGAAAUCGUAGAUAUUGGGUGGAACACCGAUGGCGAAGGCAGCCCCCUGGGUCAAGACUGACGCUCAUGCACGAAAGCGUGGGGAGCAAACAGG
rnacentral:rRNA from 1 species